UGCAUCUGUCCACACUCUCGGUGCAA
rnacentral:sRNA from 1 species